GGGAUCGAAGAUGAUUAGAUACCAUCGUAGUCUUCACCAUAAACUAUGCCGACUCGGGAUUGGCAGUCGUUUCUUUUUACGACUCUGCCAGCACCGUAUGAGAAAUCAAAGUCUUUGGGUUCCGGGGGGAGUAUGGUCGCAAGACUGAAACUUAAAGGAAUUGACGGAAGGGCACACCAGGAUGGGAGCCUGCGGCUUAAUUUGACUCAACACGGGGAAACUUACCAGGUCCAGACAAAGUAAGGAUUGACAGAUUGAGAGCUCUUUCUUGAUUCUUUGGGUGGUGGUGCAUGGCCGUUCUUAGUUGGUGGAGCGAUUUGUCUGGUUAAUUCCGUUAACGAACGAGACCACAGCCUACUAAAUAGUACUGUUUAUGGUAACAUAGGUAGAGACUUCUUAGAGGGACAUUUCGGGUAUACCGGAAGGAAGUUUGUG
rnacentral:rRNA from 1 species